UUCCCUGUUCUUCACUAUCUCCUGGAGUUUGCUCAAACUUAUGUCCAUUGGGUCAAUGAUGCCAUAAUUUCCACUAAAAACUGAAAUGGGAAGAAUAAUUCUCAGAUACAGUACUGGAGAGAAGAUUUUUCUUUGUAAACAUCCACAGACAAAAGUUUUUCACCUAGGCUUGCUCAUAAAUCCGUAUUGCCUAUAAGAUUAUCUUCCUAAGGAUUUUACUGUAAUAAUUCAAUCAUAGCAUGAGGACAAAGAGCACUGUAGCAUGGUAUACUAUGUUAUGAGUAGACCUCAGGCUCAUAAACAAAUACAUUCAUAAUAAACAUCAGCGGAAAAGAGAUUAGCAAACACAGGGUAAAGCACAUGGUGUUCAGCAAGGUCUCAACUGUGAAGACCCUUCAGGUAUUACUGAAUAGGGAGAAAACUCUUUUUGAAAACAUAACUGGAGACUAUGUUAUUUGAGAACUCUCUGUUAAGCAUUAUGCCAAUUAUUUUAUGUGCAUUAAUUUAUUUCUCCUAUAAACCCAUCACCUUUAUAUUCCCAACUUUAGUUGAGAAAACUGAAAUAAGCAAGCCAAGUAAACAGAAGACACACAAAUACUCGGAGACCACAUAUAAGUUAUUAAACUUGACUGUUCUCCAGGCCACUUGAUAUUGAAAAGGGAACACACCAAUUACUAUUGCCAAAGUGCCCUCCAGUAGUACCAUCUCAGAAUCUUUGAGCACAAAUAUAAAUAGCAAAGAUUCGCUUGUCCACUGCUGCUAUGGUCUGAAUACCUGUGUCUCCCACGAAAUUUACAUGUUGAAACCAAAUGUCGAGGGUGAUGAUACUGGGUAGUGGUCAGGUCAUGAUGUCUUAGCUCUCAUGAAUGAGACCGAUGUCCUUUUAAAAGAGUCCCCUUUUGCAAAGUCAGAGACAAAGAAAUGCCUAAAACCUGGAAGAGGGCCCUCACGCAGCAGGCUGACACCGUGAUCUCAAAUUUCUACCCUCCAGAAUGGUUAGAAAUCAAUAUCUCUUGCUUAUAAGCCACUCAGUCUAUAGUAUUUCUUUAUAGCAGACUGAACAGAUUAACACAACUGAUAUCUUCAGUUCCUGAUUUGUACUCAGUAGUUUUUUUCACUCAUUUGUUAAAAAAAAAAAAAUGGUGUUGUUGUUUUUGUUCAGUCACUCAGUCCUGUCCGACUCUGCGACCCCAUAGACUGCAG
rnacentral:lncRNA from 1 species